CAAUAGCGUAUAUUAAAGUUGUUGCAGUUAAAAAGCUCGUAGUUGAAUUUUUGCUUGCCGCCGAUGUCGGAACUUCCGUACGUUCGGCGGCGUGCAUCCUUGGGUGGAACCUGUGUGGCAUUAGGUUGUCGUGCAGGGGAUGCUCAUCGUUUACUGUGAAAAAAUUAGAGUGUUCAAAGCAGGCUUACGCCGUUGAAUAUAUUAGCAUGGAAUAAUAAGAUAGGACCUUGGUACUAUUUUGUUGGUUUGCGCACCGAGGUAAUGAUUAACAGGGACAGUUGGGGGUAUUCGUAUCCCAUUGUCAGAGGUGAAAUUCUUGGAUUUCUGGAAGACGAACUACUGCGAAAGCAUUUACCAAGGAUGUUUUCAUUAA
rnacentral:rRNA from 1 species